CGACGGGGCCCGCACAAGCAGCGGAGCGUGUGGUUUAAUUCGAUGCUACACGAAGAACUUACCAGGGUUUGACAUGCAAGUGGUAGGAAACCGAAAGGUGACCGACCCUUCGGGAGCUUGCACAGGUGCUGCAUGGCUGUCGUCAGCUCGUGUCGUGAGAUGUUCGGUUAAGUCCGCUAACGAGCGCAACCCUCGCUGUGUGUUAUAUGUGUCACACGGGACUGCCGGUCUUAAGCCGGAGGAAGGUGGGGAUGAUGUCAAGUCAGCAUGGCCUUUAUGUCCUGGGCUACACACACGCUACAAUGGUCAGCACAAUGGGUCGCUAAGCCGCAAGGUGGAGCCAAUCCUCAAAGUUGGCCUCAGUUCAGAUUGUAGGCUGCAACUCGCCUGCAUGAAGAUGGAGUUGCUAGUAAACGCAGGUCAGCUAUACUGCGUUGAAUACGUUCCCGGGGCUU
rnacentral:rRNA from 1 species